AUUGAACGCUGGCGGCAUGCUUUACACAUGCAAGUCGAACGGCAGCGCGGGCUUCGGCCUGGCGGCGAGUGGCGAACGGGUGAGUAAUGCAUCGGAACGUGCCCAGUAGUGGGGGAUAGCCCGGCGAAAGCCGGAUUAAUACCGCAUACGACCUGAGGGUGAAAGCGGGGGACCGAAAGGCCUCGCGCUAUUGGAGCGGCCGAUGUCGGAUUAGCUAGUUGGUGGGGUAAAGGCUUACCAAGGCGACGAUCCGUAGCUGGUCUGAGAGGACGACCAGCCACACUGGGACUGAGACACGGCCCAGACUCCUACGGGAGGCAGCAGUGGGGAAUUUUGGACAAUGGGGGCAACCCUGAUCCAGCCAUGCCGCGCGCGGGAAGAAGGCCUUCGGGUUGUAAACCGCUUUUGUUCGGGAAGAAAUCCUCUGGGCUAAUACCCCGGGGGGAUGACGGUACCGGAAGAAUAAGCACCGGCUAACUACGUG
rnacentral:rRNA from 1 species